AGCUCUCUGCCCAGCCACUUUCAAGAGCAUUCACAGCUUGAUUUGAAAAAAGAAAGAAAAGCGAGAACUAGAACAUUGCAGAAAUCAUCUAAUGUCUCCAACAAGAGCAAGGAGACCACAGGAGAAACAAUGUUUUUUGGUGUUCUUGGCUCAGUUGAAACCAAAUAACACUGGAAUGUCAUCUUAAAUUUCCAGAGCUGAAAGGACUGGAUAAGCAACCACAUUUUUGGAUGGCUAUCAAAUCUGAAUCUGAACCACCUAAGAUGCCAUUUGCAAAAUGGGAGGUAAGAAAGAAAAGCGACUGUUACGGAGAAGACAAAAAUAUUUCUAAAAAAUGAAGCCGGGGCUGGAGAGACAGGAAUAAGAU